GCCUUAAAAGCUAAAAGCGAUGUAGCNCCUGGUCUUGUAAACCANGAGAGAGGGUUAAAAUCCCUCUNAAGGCU
rnacentral:tRNA from 1 species